rnacentral:tRNA from 2 species
GGUAGUAUGGCUGAAAUAGCGGUAGGCUGUAAACCUACACAUAGGACGAGGUUCUUGCUGCCA